rnacentral:rRNA from 1 species
ACACAUGCAAGUCGAACGGUAACAGGAAGCAGCUUGCUGCUUCGCUGACGAGUGGCGGACGGGUGAGUAAUGUCUGGGAAACUGCCUGAUGGAGGGGGAUAACUACUGGAAACGGUGGCUAAUACCGCAUAACGUCGCAAGACCAAAGAGGGGGACCUUCGGGCCUCUUGCCAUCAGAUGUGCCCAGAUGGGAUUAGCUUGUUGGUGAGGUAACGGCUCACCAAGGCGACGAUCCCUAGCUGGUCUGAGAGGAUGACCAGCCACACUGGAACUGAGACACGGUCCAGACUCCUACGGGAGGCAGCAGUGGGGAAUAUUGCACAAUGGGCGCAAGCCUGAUGCAGCCAUGCCGCGUGUAUGAAGAAGGCCUUCGGGUUGUAAAGUACUUUCAGCGGGGAGGAAGGUGUUGUGGUUAAUAACCGCAGCAAUUGACGUUACCCGCAGAAGAAGCACCGGCUAACUCCGUGCCAGCAGCCGCGGUAAUACGGAGGGUGCAAGCGUUAAUCGGAAUUACUGGGCGUAAAGCGCACGCAGGCGGUCUGUCAAGUCGGAUGUGAAAUCCCCGGGCUCAACCUGGGAACUGCAUUCGAAACUGGCAGGCUUGAGUCUUGUAGAGGGGGGUAGAAUUCCAGGUGUAGCGGUGAAAUGCGUAGAGAUCUGGAGGAAUACCGGUGGCGAAGGCGGCCCCCUGGACAAAGACUGACGCUCAGGUGCGAAAGCGUGGGGAGCAAACAGGAUUAGAUACCCUGGUAGUCCACGCCGUAAACGAUGUCUACUUGGAGGUUGUGCCCUUGAGGCGUGGCUUCCGGAGCUAACGCGUUAAGUAGACCGCCUGGGGAGUACGGCCGCAAGGUUAAAACUCAAAUGAAUUGACGGGGGCCCGCACAAGCGGUGGAGCAUGUGGUUUAAUUCGAUGCAACGCGAAGAACCUUACCUGGUCUUGACAUCCACAGAAGAAUCCAGAGAUGGAUUUGUGCCUUCGGGAACUGUGAGACAGGUGCUGCAUGGCUGUCGUCAGCUCGUGUUGUGAAAUGUUGGGUUAAGUCCCGCAACGAGCGCAACCCUUAUCCUUUGUUGCCAGCGGUUAGGCCGGGAACUCAAAGGAGACUGCCAGUGAUAAACUGGAGGAAGGUGGGGAUGACGUCAAGUCAUCAUGGCCCUUACGACCAGGGCUACACACGUGCUACAAUGGCGCAUACAAAGAGAAGCGACCUCGCGAGAGCAAGCGGACCUCAUAAAGUGCGUCGUAGUCCGGAUUGGAGUCUGCAACUCGACUCCAUGAAGUCGGAAUCGCUAGUAAUCGUGGAUCAGAAUGCCACGGUGAAUACGUUCCCGGGCCUUGUACACACCGCCCGUCACACCAUGGGAGUGGGUUGCAAAAGAAGUAGGUAGCUUAACCUUCGGGAGGGCGCUUACCACUUUGUGAUUCAUGACUGGGGUGAAGUCGUAACAAGGUAACCGUAGGGGAACCUGCGGUUGGAUCACCUCCUUACCUUAAAGAA